AUUGCACAAUGGGGGGAACCCUGAUGCAGCGACGCCGCGUGAGGGAAGACGGUUUUCGGAUUGUAAACCUCUGUCUUUAGGGACGAAACAAAUGACGGUACCCAAGGAGGAAGCUCCGGCUAACUACGUGCCAGCAGCCGCGGUAAUACGUAGGGAGCAAGCGUUGUCCGGAAUUACUGGGUGUAAAGGGAGCGUAGGCGGGAUAGUAAGUUGAUUGUUAAAACUAUCGGCUCAACUGAUAGAUGCGAUCAAAACUGCAAUUCUUGAGUGAAGUAGAGGCAGGCGGAAUUCCUAGUGUAGCGGUGAAAUGCGUAGAUAUUAGGAGGAACACCAGUGGCGAAGGCGGCCUGCUGGGCUUUAACUGACGCUGAGGCUCGAAAGUGUGGGUAGCAAACAG
rnacentral:rRNA from 1 species